GGUGCCUUGUACAUUAUGGAAGCUGGGAAGGAAAAUCAAAGGUCACAAGGAACAUGGAAAAAGGCUACCAGGCAUUGCGUUUGAAAGUGGAAUCUUCAGCAGCUGAAAUUUCACUUCUACAGUUCCCAGUACAUAUAAGUUGCAAUAUACCAGGGCCUGAGGGGAAUACCCCUCUAUCAGGAUUAUUUUACUACAUCAUGCAAUGUGCAAGGACAUGCCAAGCUGGGCAGAAGAAGGAAAGUAUGUAGCCAUUUCAGCAGCUUCUGCCUCCUCCCUGACUGAAUUGGAAAUUAUUAUGAAUUUUGUGAUUAAAUUAUGUGUGGCACUUAUAAUUUGCAAUGUAGUCAAAUAUGGGUGUACAGUAUGGGUGAAUAAAGAGAAAAUUGAUUGUACCUUUAACUGAGCAAAUCUAAGGAUGCUGUUAAGUUUGGUAGAUGUGUAUUUUUAUCUACAGUUGUCAUCUGCUGCAAAACAUCUGGAUUUUAGAGGGUCAGACUUUUAGACAAUCUGAGUGUACAACAGAUACUACAGACUCUUUGUAGCUACCCUGUUUGAAAACAGAAGUAUAUGGGCCUUCUGAAACAGUUUGCAAAUCUGUCAUUAAAACAAAAUGGGAUUUUUUGGUGGUUGAAAUGAGUAUCAGUGCUUUUCUCCAUUUGUUCUUGUAUUUAAGAAUUCAGUGAAAGGUACAAUUUUUUUCAGGGCCUUUGCUUAUUAUAUGACUAGGCUUUAGAUAAAUUGUGGUAAUGUUUGGGCUCCUUAUUUGGUUUUUUUAUGGUUUUGAGUAUGAGGUUAUGCACAUCCAUGGCUUGUAAGAAGAGCCAGACUGGCAGCAGAGGGGUUGAUGUCCUUUGUGGAGCAGGGACAGCAUGUUGCCUUUUUACCUUGUCAAUGCACUUCAGUCUCAACACACUCCCAGCAUGGAGAGUCCCAGUUUGGUUUCCAUAUCCUCCUGUCAUUAAAUUGUGGGCUGGGCUGUGCAGGGCAGUCUGGGUUCCCAUUAGUUCUAGCUGGUGACUGAGUGGGCAAAACC